AGUGAACGCUGGCGGUAGGCCUAACACAUGCAAGUCGAACGGCAGCACAGUAAGCGCUUGCUCUUACGGGUGGCGAGUGGCGGACGGGUGAGGAAUACAUCGGCAUCUACUUUUUCGUGGGGGAUAACGUAGGGAAACUUACGCUAAUACCGCAUACGACCUACGGGUGAAAGCAGGGGAUCUUCGGACCUUGCGCGAUUGAAUGAGCCGAUGUCGGAUUAGCUAGUUGGCGGGGUAAAGGCCCACCAAGGCGACGAUCCGUAGCUGGUCUGAGAGGAUGAUCAGCCACACUGGAACUGAGACACGGUCCAGACUCCUACGGGAGGCAGCAGUGGGGAAUAUUGGACAAUGGGCGCAAGCCUGAUCCAGCCAUACCGCGUGGGUGAAGAAGGCCUUCGGGUUGUAAAGCCCUUUUGUUGGGAAAGAAAAGCAGCAGGUUAAUACCCCGCUGUUCUGAAGGUACCCAAAGAAUAAGCACCGGCUAACUUCGUG
rnacentral:rRNA from 1 species